rnacentral:lncRNA from 1 species
UAUUUCAAUCAAAUUUUAUAGGCAUGAAGCAUUACAAGUUAUAUUUAGGAAAGAUCUUUGUUAUUUGAAUAUUGAAAACACAUAAUUCAAAAUAUCAUGUCACAUACAAAACAUAAUAUGCAUUAAGUCAUAACAUCAUGUAUUAAAACAUUAAGAGCAAGCAUGUCAAGGAUCAAAAUUUAUUCUUUUCAAAUAAACUCUCCUUAUUUAUAUAUAAUUCUACACUGAUUUUAUCCUUAAGGUGUGUUUUCAAGUGAUCGAAACUUUAUUUGGCUUUUCACAAGCUUUUUAUAUACUUUCAUUUAUCUUGUCAUUCAUUUCCUCAUUUUUGAAUUUCUUCCUUUAACCACUUAGUGAACAUUCUAAUCUUCAUUUCUUUUGGUUUUACUUUUCUAUGCUCUAUACUCUAUUUGCUCCCUAUCCGGUGGAGUUGGAAGGGGCACGAGGUACUACCACUAGCCUCCCUCUUGUGCCGUCCCUAAUCUGCCCUACACCGAAUAGUUGGGUCAAA